rnacentral:rRNA from 1 species
UGGGGAAUCUUGCGCAAUGGCCGAAAGGCUGACGCAGCGACGCCGCGUGCGGGAGGAAGCCCUUCGGGGUGUAAACCGCUGUCAGGGGGGAAGAAACCCAAGGGUUCGAACAGGGCCUUUGGCUGACGGUACCCCCAGAGGAAGCGCCGGCUAACUACGUGCCAGCAGCCGCGGUAAUACGUAGGGUGCAAGCGUUAAUCGGAAUUACUGGGCGUAAAGCGUGCGUAGGCGGUUCGGAAAGAAAGAUGUGAAAUCCCAGGGCUCAACCUUGGAACUGCAUUUUUUAACUACCGGGCUAGAGUGUGUCAGAGGGGGGUGGAAUUCCGCGUGUAGCGGUGAAAUGCGCAGAUAUCAGGAGGAACACCGGUGGCGAAGGCGGCUUGCUGGGCCUGUCCUGACGCUGAGGAGCGAAAGCGUGGGGAGCGAACAGGAUUAGAUUACCC